rnacentral:rRNA from 1 species
AUUGAACGCUGGCGGCAUGCCUUACACAUGCAAGUCGAACGGCAGCACCGGUGCUUGCGCCUGGUGGCGACUUGCGCACGGGUGAGUAAUACAUCGGAACAUGUCCUGUAGUGGGGGAUAGCCCGGCGAACGCCGGAUUAAUACCGCAUACGAUCUACGCAUGACAGCGGGGGCCCUCCGGGCCUCGCGCUAUAGGGUUGGCCGAUGGCUGCUUAGCUAGUUGGUGGGGUAAAGGCCUACCAAGGCGACAAUCAGUAGCUGGUCUCAGAGCGAGCCCAGCCACACUGGGACUGAGGAACGGCCCAGACUCCUACGGGAGGCAGCAGUGGGGAAUCUUGGAGGAUGGGGGAAAGCCGGAUCCAGGAAUGCCGCGUGUGUGAAGAAGGACUUCGGGUUGGAAAGCACUUUUGUCCGUAAAGAAAUCCUUGGCCCUAAUACGGUCGGAGGAUGACGGUACCGGAAGAAUAAGCACCGGCUAACUACGUG